CCAGUCGCAGAAGCCCCGAGUAAGAAAGUGGCAAAAAAAGAUGCUGCUGCAGCUGCUCUGCGAGUGCUUUCUGCUGAAAUGCAGGGUGGGCCAGGCUCGGAGGAAGAAGGAGGCUCUGCUGGUUUAGGCCAAGAAACGGGUCCUUUUCAGAAAGUGUAAGUAGCAAAUGUCACAACACAAGUGUCAACAAAGUGUAAUUAUUAAAAUAUGUUUGUAAAAAACGUUUUAGGGGUCGGUUGCAGCGGUGCCAGGAGGAGAGGAUAUGGACAGGAGCUCUGAUGAAGCUCAGCAGCCCUUAUCCCGAUCACUUCCUGGUGGAAAAAAUCCAGUUCUGUCCUGAUGGAAUACAGCCAACGCAGUGGCAACUCCAUUGACUUCAUUGUGACUGGUCAGGCUGGCCCCCCACAUGACCCAAGGUUUAUGUACCAAGUGAAGAUUGGAGAGACUUUAUUCCCAGAGGCCUCAGCUCCAAGCAAAAAAGCGGCCCGGCAGCUUGCGGCAGAGGAAGCAGUUAAAGAGUUAAUGGCGGAUGGACGACUGCAGCCCGACAAGGUGAGAGACAUAUUUUGAUGACUUGUUUAACUGUAAUCUGUGUAACACUGCUUUCCUUUGUUCUGUUGUAGCCCCACUUUCCACUGGGCAGUUCCAGUGGUGAUGAUGAAGCCUUUGGGAACCCAUGUCUCCCUCUGCCGCCUCUGACUGCAGAUGCCCUGCGCGCCGCCCAUGAGGCAGGGGUGGGAGCCCUAAUCAACUAUCUCAACAAUAAUGCAGUGUCUGGCCUGCUGGAGUAUGCACGAGCGCGAGGAUUUGCUGCAGAAAUCAGGCUUGUGGACCAGACUGGACCAGCCCAUGAACCAAAGUAUGUCACAUCUGAAAACCAUAUACAAUAACCCUAAUAUGACACCACCUGCACAAAUGUGUUUUUUACUUCAGUACAGUGAUACAAAUGUGAACAUGGGUUUUAUAUGGAGUGUCUGAUUGUAAAGAUUACUUUGAUUUAUUUCUCUAUCUGCACUGCUCAGGUUCACCUACCAGGCCAAACUGGGUGGACGCUGGUUUCCUCCUGUUUGUGCUUCCAACAAGAAGCAGGGAAAACAAGAGGCUGCAGAUGCUGCUUUGAGGAUACUGAUCGGAGAGGCCGAGAAAGCAGCUCGAACAGGGGAACUAAUCCCUGCAGAGCUUCCAGUGAGUGGCAGCACUUUGCACGACCAAAUCGCCAUGUUGAGUCACCAGCGUUUCAAUGCCCUGACAACACGAAUACAGCACAGUCUUCUGGGACGCAAGAUUCUGGCCACCAUCGUCAUGAGGAGAGGAGAGGGCCUGGGCACCGUGGUUAGCCUUGGAACUGGGAAUCGUUGUGUUAAAGGGGAGGAGCUGAGUCUUAAAGGGGAGACUGUCAAUGAUUGCCACGCAGAAAUCAUCUCCAGAAGGGGGUUUAUCCGGUAAAUGCGGCUCUGUGAUUUUCUAGUGUUUCGUGACCAGUUCUAAAAAUAUGCUCUUGUCAGACAGUGUCUGCAGGACUUUACAAGAGUGUGUCUCUCCUGUGCUCUCAGGUUUCUGUACAGUGAGCUGCUGAGGCACUUUGAUGGAGCAGACGACAGUAUAUUUGAGCCAGCCGAGGAAAACAAGCUGCGAAUUAAAUCUGACAUCACGUUUCACCUCUACAUCAGGUGGGACUAUCAGAUCUUUGGCCACUCUCCUCUUUCACUCUUUAGCCUUUAAUAAGCCACAGG
rnacentral:lncRNA from 1 species